rnacentral:lncRNA from 1 species
CCAGACUCGUGGCAAAGGUCUCGAUGGCGGCGACCAUGCGCGCCGAGUGAUCGCACGGGCUUAACUGGCACUCGGCUGACGGUAUCUUGUCGUUGUUGUCGUCGUUGUCGUCUGUCGGGCAGGCGUCGGUACGAUGGGGCAGCACCGGGUCAGAGCGCAGACUGUCCAGGGUGUCUUUCACAGGUAUGGCAUCGCGAGCGUGGAGGGCCUUGUUGUCUUUGGCCAUGGAUUCUCCCACAGACGCACGUCCGCUCGCCGCGCGCAAGAGCCACACGCCAACGUGUUCGAGUGCCUCACUGGCAAGCACGUCGCUGUUCAUGUGUGCAUAGGAACGCGAGAGCGCAUCGAGCGCUGCGACUGGGACCUGUGCAGACGUGCCCUCGACCGCUGCUUUGACCACCUCAAAAAGUGGCGGCGGCACUGGCAAAGCCUCGCCUUUGGUUGUGGUCCGACCAAAGAUGGCCUGGAAAGCGCGGCACACGGCGCGCGUGUCGCUCGACUGGACACUCUGGGCCUGGGCGACGACGUGGUGGGCUGCUCCAGGUACGACUAUAUGCGGAUCGACGGAAUACGUGCAGUUGGGACCAAAUGCGACAGACGCAUCAGGCAGAGCAUUGCGCGGGUGGCUUUCCAGGGCUGUCGCUGUUGGCGUCGUGAGGACCUCACGAGGAGUGGUCGCUUGUGCCCGGUCGGCUGUGGCGGGGCUCGCGGGGUCAGGACCCUUUGCCGCGUUUUCAGCGCACGCAUCACCGCCAGAGCCGCCCAUGUCGUCGAUGUGGUCGUUGGCGCAGAGUGUGCCAUUGCCCGUCUUAUCUUUUUAUUUGGCGACCAUGGCAAUAUAAUUGGACGGCAUAUCUCAUCCAAUAAAAGAAAU